rnacentral:rRNA from 1 species
ACCCGCUGAACUUAAGCAUAUCAAUAAGCGGAGGAAAAGAAACCAACAGGGAUUGCCUUAGUAACGGCGAGUGAAGCGGCAAAAGCUCAGAUUUGAAAUCUGGCGUCUUCGACGUCCGAGUUGUAAUCUGUAGAGAAGUAUUCGAGUGUGGAUAUGGCUUAAGUUCCUUGGAACAGGACGUCAAAGAGGGUGAGAACCCCGUAUACGGCCUCUGUCUUAUGCUCAUGUGAAUCUUCUUCAACGAGUCGAGUUGUUUGGGAAUGCAGCUCUAAAUGGGUGGUAAACUCCAUCUAAAGCUAAAUACUGGCAAGAGACCGAUAGCGCACAAGUAGAGUGAUCGAAAGAUGAAAAGAACUCCGAACAGAGAGUCAAACAGUACGUGAAAUUGUUGAAAGGGAAGCACUUGCUACCAGACUCGCCUACAGUUGAUCAACCACUGUCACAGGCAGCGGUGCACUCGGCUGUGGUGCGGGCCAGCACCAGUUGUGUUGGUGGGAUAAAGACAGCAGGCAUGUAGCUCCUUUUGGAGUGUUAUAGCCUGUUGUGUAAUACCAUCUAACGCGACUGAGGACCGCGCUCGGUGUAUUCCGAGCUAGGGUGCUGGCAUAAUGGCUGU